rnacentral:rRNA from 1 species
GACGUAGGUGGCGAACGUUAUCCGGAAUUAUUGGGCGUAAAGGGUGCGUAGGUGGCCUGGCAAGUUAUUAGUGGUAAAUCGAGGCUCAACCUCGUGGAAACUAGUAAUACUGUCCGGCUUGAGUGCAGGAGAGGUUAACGGAACUCUAUGUGGAGGGGUAAAAUCCAUAGAUAUAUAGAUGGACAUCAAUAACGGCGAAGGCAGUUAACUAUUCUGUUACUGACACUGAGGCACGAAAGCGUGGGGAGCAAAACGG